rnacentral:rRNA from 1 species
UACGAAGGGUGCAAGCGUUACUCGGAAUUACUGGGCGUAAAGCGUGCGUAGGUGGUUCGUUAAGUCUGAUGUGAAAGCCCUAGGCUCAACCUGGGAACUGCAUUGGAUACUGGACGAUCUGGAGUGCGGUAGAGGGUGGCGGAAUUCCCGGUGUAGCAGUGAAAUGCGUAGAUAUCGGGAGGAACAUCCGUGGCGAAGGCGGCCACCUGGACCAGCACUGACACUGAGGCACGAAAGCGUGGGGAGCAAACAGG